rnacentral:rRNA from 1 species
AGAGUUUGAUCAUGGCUCAGGACGAACGCUGGCGGCGUGCUUAACACAUGCAAGUCGAGCGGAAAGGCCCUUUCGGGGGUACUCGAGCGGCGAACGGGUGAGUAACACGUGAGUAACCUGCCCUAGACUUUGGGAUAACCCUCGGAAACGGGGGCUAAUACCGGAUAUUUACUGCUGGCCGCAUGGUUGGUGGUGGAAAGUUUUUCGGUCUGGGAUGGGCUCGCGGCCUAUCAGCUUGUUGGUGGGGUGAUGGCCUACCAAGGCGACGACGGGUAGCCGGCCUGAGAGGGCGACCGGCCACACUGGGACUGAGACACGGCCCAGACUCCUACGGGAGGCAGCAGUGGGGAAUAUUGCACAAUGGGCGGAAGCCUGAUGCAGCGACGCCGCGUGAGGGAUGACGGCUUUCGGGUUGUAAACCUCUUUCAGCAGGGACGAAGCGCAAGUGACGGUACCUGCAGAAGAAGCGCCGGCCAACUACGUGCCAGCAGCCGCGGUAAGACGUAGGGCGCGAGCGUUGUCCGGAUUUAUUGGGCGUAAAGAGCUCGUAGGCGGCUUGUCACGUCGACUGUGAAAUCCCGCGGCUCAACUGCGGGCUUGCAGCCGAUACGGGCAGGCUAGAGUUCGGUAGGGGAGACUGGAAUUCCUGGUGUAGCGGUGAAAUGCGCAGAUAUCAGGAGGAACACCGGUGGCGAAGGCGGGUCUCUGGGCCGAUACUGACGCUGAGGAGCGAAAGCGUGGGGAGCGAACAGGAUUAGAUACCCUAGUAGUCC